rnacentral:rRNA from 1 species
CCUACGGGAGACAGCAGUGAGGAAUAUUGGUCAAUGGACGAGAGUCUGAACCAGCCAAGUAGCGUGAAGGAUGACUGCCCUAUGGGUUGUAAACUUCUUUUAUAUGGGAAUAAAAUGUUCCACGUGUGGGAUUUUGUAUGUACCAUAUGAAUAAGGAUCGGCUAACUCCGUGCCAGCAGCCGCGGUAAUACGGAGGAUCCGAGCGUUAUCCGGAUUUAUUGGGUUUAAAGGGAGCGUAGGUGGAUUGUUAAGUCAGUUGUGAAAGUUUGCGGCUCAACCGUAAAAUUGCAGUUGAAACUGGCAGGCUGGAGUACAGUAGAGGUGGGGGGAAGUCGGGGGGUAGCGGUGGAAUGCUUAG